rnacentral:rRNA from 1 species
GCCGGGGCUUCUUCUCUGGCUACCGUCAUCAUCUUCACCAGUGAAAGCGCUUUACAACCCUAAGGCCUUCUUCACGCACGCGGCAUGGCUGGAUCAGGGUUGCCCCCAUUGUCCAAUAUUCCCC